GACGAACGCUGGCGGCGUGCUUAACACAUGCAAGUCGAACGGAAGGGCCCUGCUUUUGCGGGGUGCUCGAUUGGCGAACGGGUGAGUAACACGUGAGUAACCUGCCCUUGUCUGUGGGAUAACUUCAGGAAACUGGGGCUAAUACCGGAUAGGAGCUCCUGCUGCAUGUGGGGGGUUGGAAAGUUUCGGCGGUUGGGGAUGGACUCGCAGCUUAUCAGCUUGUUGGUGGGGUAGUGGCUUACCAAGGCUUUGACGGAUAGCCGGCCUGAGAGGGUGACCGGCCACAUGGGGCCUGAGAGACGGACCAGAAGCCUACGUGAGGCAGCAGGGGGGAACAUUGCGCAAUGGGCGGAAGCCUGAUGCAGCAACGCCGCGUGCGGGAAGACGGCCUUCGGGUUAUAAACCGCUUUGGAAUGUGCCGAAGAGAGAGUGACGGUAAUGGGUAAAGAAGCAACGGCUAACUACGUG
rnacentral:rRNA from 1 species